rnacentral:rRNA from 1 species
UACGUAGGGUGCGAGCGUUAAUCGGAAUUACUGGGCGUAAAGCGUGCGCAGGCGGUUAUGCAAGACAGAUGUGAAAUCCCCGGGCUUAACCUGGGAACUGCAUUUGUGACUGCAUGGCUGGAGUGCGGCAGAGGGGGAUGGAAUUCCGCGUGUAGCAGUGAAAUGCGUAGAUAUGCGGAGGAACACCGAUGGCGAAGGCAAUCCCCUGGGCCUGCACUGACGCUCAUGCACGAAAGCGUGGGGAGCAAACAGG